AAACUUUCAACAAUGGAUCUCUUGGCUCUCGCAUCGAUGAAAAACGCAGCAAAAUGCGAUAAGUAAUAUGAAUUGCAGAAUUCCGUGAAUCAUCAAAUUUUUGAACGCAAAUUGCACUUCUUGGUAUUCCGAGGAGUACACAUGCUUGAGGGUCAGU
rnacentral:rRNA from 1 species